AGAACAUAAAGAACUCAACAGACAGAAGAUAAAGCCAAGCACUGUUUGUCUGUAGGAAGUGGCCAGGCAUCAAGCCCAACGAAAUCACCAUUCAGAACAAGAUACUGACUCGGAGGACACCAUCAAUAACCACCAAUAAGACCACCCUGGGCCACUUGGCCGCCAUAGAAGCCCGAGAUGCCGUUUACCUGGUGAGUCAGCACAUGCCGGCAUCCCCCAGGGCUGCAGAUCUCAACUCUCCUGUAGGCUCAAGGGCACAUGGCAAGGGCCAUGUUCAUCCCCAGGACCAGUAUGAUGACUAAGCUGUGAACCUUGUGCUAUAUCCAGCUGAGAGAUUACUCACUUAGUCAUGGAGAAGGGCUGUUGGAGGGAGGGACAGUAAAGUUGGGCACAAGGCAGAUAUAGCAAUGCCCAUAGCUGUACCCACUGGGGUACAAUGGCAGGAACACCCACAGCCUCCAGGUGCUAACCGGUACCUCCUGUUCUCAACAUGAGGCGUCUUGCAACACCCUCUCUGCCACUGCUGAGGGAUGGAGAAUCUCUCCCAUUUCCCCUAGCAAGGGCAACAAUACCUGAAGACACCUGCCUUUUUACACCACUCCCAAACAGCAGAGCCAGAUACCCACUGACAGACUGUAGGACUGACCUGCUGAGCCUUCACUAAAAUGCCACCUGAACUAUCUUCCAGCUCAGAAGAUGUAUAGAUCCUUGCUCCUGGUGCCCAUAGAGAAACUUAGUCAUAUCCACUGGUCCCAGGGGAAAGCCUGAAGUUCCUAGUGCUGGUGUGUCCUUAGCUGCUACUGCAGGUCCCAGGCAGAGGGAAAGACUCUAUACGCUGUAUUCAGUGAGGGGUGGAGACCCAGGGCUCAGCCUUCUGAAGAGGCCAGGAACCCCCUAUGGGUGCCCCACUGCAGGACAAUGGUCAGGAAUGCUCAGGUCCCAGAACCAGAGACACACAGGUCUCUGCCCCCGCUCAGUUUCUCUUGAGCUGGGCGACCAUAGGUCCCAGCCUUCCCAUUGUAAGGUAAGAGAAUAACCUCACCUAUGUGAGAGCCUGUGGGAUGACUUCCUGAGAAACAGCUUGUGGGGCCAGGGCUGUUCCUGAGGGCCAGGGGUCAGUGCUUGCUGUGGGCCCCAGAGCUCAGAGCCCCCAAGUCUGUGAAGGCAGGAGUUCCCAAGCCUUCCUUUUGCCUCCCUUCAGAAAUACUUGGCACUGUUUGACAAAGAACUGAAGGGUAUCCAGGAUCACUUCAGGAAGCUGCUGUUGGAGUCUCAGCGCUGGAAGGAAAGCUGGAAACGCUCCCUUAGCACCAUCCAGACCCUAUACUCGACCUGUUCUCCUCUGCAACUCAAAUAAAGUCUUUAUUUCUCUCC
rnacentral:lncRNA from 1 species